AGCAGCCGCGGUAAUUCCAGCUCCAAUAGCGUAUAUUAAAGUUGUUGCAGUUAAAAAGCUCGUAGUUGAAUUUCGGGAUCAAGGCGUCCGUCGUGCUUCGGUACGUACUGGCGUCAUUGAUUUCCCCCUUCUGACGAACCAUGAUGUCAUUAACUUGGUGUUAUGGGAAAUCAGGACUGUUACUUUGAAAAAAUUAGAGUGUUUAAAGCAGGCUCACGCUUGAAUACAUUAGCAUGGAAUAAUGAAAUAGGACGUUCGAUCCUAUUUUGUUGGUUUUUAGGAUCAACGUAAUGAUUAAUAGGGAUAGUUGGGGGCAUUAGUAUUCAAUUGUCAGAGGUGAAAUUCUUGGAUUUAUUGAAGACUAACUACUGCGAAAGCAUUUGCCAAGGAUGUUUUCAUUAAUCAAGAACGAAAGUUAGGGGAUCGAAGACGAUCAGAUACCGUCGUAGUCUUAACCAUAAACUAUGCCGACUAGGGAUCGGAUGAUGUUAAUUAUUUAAUGACACAUUCGGCGCCUUAA
rnacentral:rRNA from 1 species